AGCAUGUGUUUUAGCCACACUGAACACUGGAAAAUGCCCUAAAAGAGAUAUAAAUAAAAGAUUCCAACACAAAUAUAUUUGUUAUAGUUGUUUAUUUAGCAAGAAGCUGUUGAAAGAGUAAGUAGAAUGAGGUUUGAAAGAGAAAGUACCAAUAUUUUGAAAAUGAGUCCCAGCAGUUAAAGGACUAAGCGGUUCAGUUGUUGGUCAUGUGCCUCAAUUCACAUUUACAUUAUAGGACACAACAUAUUCAUUAUAUAACAGACAUUAGUGAGAACUUAGCCGGCCUUGGUGAUUCAUUUCUAAAGACAUACAACUUAUUGAUUCUUCCUCACAUUUUCAAUUAAAGGAAUACUGUAGUUCACCCGAAGUGAAAAUGCUGUCAUUUACUCACCGUCAUGUUGUUCCAAACCUGUAUGCUAGUAUUUUGCCUGAAGAGAACAAAAGAAGAAUUUCUGAAAGAUCUUCAUGCAGCUUCAUAAUAAUCAUGUCUGUAAAUCUCCAAAAAACACACACAAAAAAUAACGGCAUACGGGUUUAAAGCAACAUGUAAGUGGGAUAAAUUGGACCAAAAUGUAAUUUUUGAAUGCAAUGUUCCUUUAAAUAAUAAUGCUAUCAUUAAAAGCUAAUUGACAGAUCAGUUGUAGCACCUAUCAAGAAAAAAAUCACCUACAAUAUUCAAACAUUCUGUUCAAAACAUCCCAUCUGAGAACCACUAGCACAUGAAUGUUUCAUUCAGGAUGUAUUUGCAUCGCCUUUCAGCAGGACAAUGACAGAGAGCUAUACAUUCUGUGUGUGGAAAGCUCUUUCCAUGCCACGAAGUUUACAUGUUCACCUCUUCUUUUUUUAUUGCUCAUACAGUUUAUGUAUAACAAAGAUGCAACCAUCAUUUAAUACAAUCAAAGCAAUGUGGAAAUUAAAGCAUAAUUUUCAAACUAUAUUAUAAUCACACAGAAAAAAAGAUUUAAUAUGAUAGCAUAUAAAAUAAUACUGAUAAAUAAACAGAAUAAAUUAAUAUGCAUAUAUUUCAAUAAAUAUAUUGUUAAAUUGUCGGCGCCAAUAGCCUUGCGGUUAGUGCGCCGACAUAUACUGCGCAACUGCGCUGACGGCGACCCGGGUUCGAGUCCCGGCUCGUGGUCCUUUGCCGAUCUCGCUCCCCUCUCUCUUCACCAAAAAACACUUUCCUGUCUACUCUACACUGUCCUUUCCAAUAAAGGCAUAAAAAAAGCCCAUAAAUAAAUCUUUAAAUAUAUUGUUAAAUCAAUUUUAGCUAAAAAUACUAAGAAACAUAUAUGGACACUUUAAUAAGAACACAAACAUAUUAGAAAAGUAUAUAUAUAAAACAACAACGUAUAUCAUUCUGAAACAAUUUGAUCAUUUUCUAACCAAAAUUGCUGCAGCAUGCUUAAAUGAAAAUUAUACAUCUUUCCCUUAAAAUAAAUAACUUAAUAGAUUGCCUGAAAACUCUGCAAUGCUUAUUUUUCUGUGUAUAAAACUGUACAAACAGACAACAUAAAACAGGUUCAUGGUAAAUCACACACAAGUGUACAACAACACCUACAUAAACAAAUAUUCCUUACAUAUAUACAAAAAAUAUGUUAUCUACUCUGUGAUAGGCAAUUGAAAUUUGCAGAAUUCAGAGUCAGUGACAUUUAUAUGAAGUUACAGUAUCAUAUUUUGUAACACACUGAAUUUUAAGAAUAUUUAGCUUCAUUUUAGAGGGUAAACUAUUGUAGUAAACAUGCAGUAGUUGAAGCACUUCGGUCUUUUGGUCCAAAAAAAAUCAUUGUCUGUAAGAGUCCAAUAACAGUAAAGCACAAUGGCAAAAUGAGGAAAUUAUUGAACAUGAAAUCAUCAUGAUUAUACACACAUACAGUGGUGUGAAAAAGUGUUGGCCCCUUCCUGAUUUCUUAUUUUUUGCAUGUUUGUCACACUUUAAUGUUUCAGAUCAUUAAAAAAAUGUAACUAUUAGUCAAAGAUAGCACAAGUAAACACAACAUUGAAGGUUUUUAUUAUUAAGGGAAAACAAAAUCCAAAACUACAUGGCCCUAUGUGAAGAAGUGUUUGGCCCCUGUUAAAACUGUGGUUUAUCACACCUGAGUUCAAUUUCUCUAGCCACACCCAGAUCUGAUUACUGCCACAGCUGUUCGCAAUCAAGAAAUCUCUUAAAUAGGGCCUGCCUGACAAAGUGAAGUAGACCAAAAGAUCCUCAAAAGCUAGACAUCAUGCCGAGAGCCAAAGAAAUUCAGAAACAAAUGAGAAAGAAAGUAAUUGAGAUCUAUCAGUCUGGAAAAGGUUAUAAAGCCAUUUCUAAAGCUUUGGGACUCCAGCGAACCACAGUGAGAGACAUUAUUCAAAAACAUGGAAGAGUGGAGAACCUUCCCAGGAGCAGCCGGCCGACCAAAAUUACCCCAAGAGCACAGCGACGACUCAUCCAAGAGGUCACAAAAGACCCCACAACAACAUCCAAAGAACUGCAGGCCUGACUUGCCUCAGUUAUGGUCAGUGUUGCUGAGCAAAAAGAACAUAAAGGCUUUUCUCAGUUUUGACAGAAAACAUCUUGAUGAUCCCCAAGACUUUUGGGAAAAUACUCUGUGGACUGACGAGACAAAAGUUGAACUUUUUGGAAGGUGUGUGUCCCAUUACGUCUGGUGUAAAAGUAACACUGCGUUUCAGAAAAAGAACAUCAUACCAACAGUAAAUAUGGUGGUGGUAGUGUGAUGGUCUGGGGCUGUUUUGCUGCUUCAGGACCUGGAAGACUUGCUGUGAUAAAUGGUACCAUGAAUUCUGCUGUUUACCAAAAAAUCUUGAAGGAGAAUGUCCGGCCAUCUGUUCUUUGGAGUGGCCUUGUCAAAGUCCUGACUUGAAUCCUAUUGAGAUCCUGUGGCAUGACCUUAAAAAGGUGGUUCAUGCUCGAAAACCCUCCAAGGAAGUCGUGGCCUAGUGGUUAGAGACUCCUAACCCUAAGGUUGUGGUUUCGAGUCUUGGGCCGGCAAUACCACGACUGAGGUGCUCUUGAGCAAGGCACUAAGGCAUGCUCCCCGGGUGCCGCAGCAUAAAUGGCUGCCCACUGCUCCGGGUGUGUGUUCACGUUGUGUGUGUGUUCACUGCUGUGUGUGUGCACUUUGGAUGGGUUAAAUGCAGAGCACGAAUUCUGAGUAUGGGUCAUCAUACUUGGCUCUAUGUCACUUCACUUUCAGUGUUGCUGAAUUAUAACAAUUCUGCAUAGAUGAGUGGACCAACAUUCCUCCACAGUGCUGAAACAGACUCAUUGCAAUUUAUUGCAAACACUUGAUUGCAGUUGUUGCUGCUAAGGGUGGCCCAACCAGUUAUUAAGUUUUGGGGGGUAAACACUUUUUCACACAGGGCAAUGUAGUUUUGGAUUUUGUUUUCCCUUAAUUUAAAUUUAUUUAAAAACUGCAUGUUGUGUUUACUUGUGUUAUCUUUUACUAAUAUUUAAAUUAGUUUGAUGAUCUGAAACAUUAAAGUGUGACAAACAUGAGAAAUCAGGAAGGGGGCCAACACUUUUUUUCACAGCACUGUAUAUAUAUAUAUAUAUAUAUAUAUAUAUAUAUAUAUAUAUAUAUAUAUAUAUAUAUAUAUAUAUAUAUAUAUAUAUAUAUAUAUAUAUAUAUAUAAUUGUAUAAAAUGUUCACUAAUUUCCUUAGUUCCAGCAUGAAAGAUGAAGUGGGUCAUUUCUGCAUCAUUAGCAACACCAAACAGAUUGUUUACAAACACUCCCCGUCUGACAUUAGUUGAAAAACGAAUAGCCCUGCCCGUGUCAGGCUGCUUAAAGUUCUUAAGGUGCCACAAAGCCACAGUGUUUUCACUCUCUAAGAAGGCAAUAUACAGAUGUCUUAUAACUGUGUUAUCACAUUACACCUGGAGAAGGAGUACAGUAUAAAAAAAUGAUGCACUUCAUCUUUGAUGGAAGGGUGUGAGGAAAGCUAAACUUGCUGUUGUAUUUAUAGUGGGUUUCUUAUUACGUAAUUUAAAAAAAAAUGAAAAAAAAAAAACAAUAAAAGAAAACAAUGCCUAGAAAAUAGUGCAUUUGUGAACAAUCAUGAAGCACCAAGUCCAGUUACAUUUAAAGUUUUAUGGAAUGAAACUUACUUUCUUAAGACUAAUUCUUAAAGUAAGAGUACACAAACAAUGAAAAUGUCCCUGAAAUAUUUUCACCCUCAGGCCAUCCAAGAUGUGGAUUUGUUUGUUUGUUUCUUUAUCGGAGCAGAUUGGGAGAAAUUUAGCAUUACAUCACCAAUGGAUCGUCUGCAGUGAAUGGGUGCCGUCAUUAUGAGAGUCCAAACAACUGAUAAAAACAUGACAAUAAUCUACAAAUCAUGUAAGUAAUCAACAAACGGUAUGUUUGUAAAAAAACAAAUCUAUCAUUAAAAUAAUACACUUUCUUCAGUGAAAAAGUCGUCUCAUCUACAGUCUACAAAAGCAAAAACAAUCCAAAUGUUAUGGUUUAAAGUUAAAACACAUUAAUGAUGGAUUUGUUUCUUGGAAACUCAAAGCUUUUCACUUCAUAAGACAUUAAUUGAUGGACUGAAGUGGUGUGGAUUAUUUGUGGAUUACUGUGAUGUUUUUAUCAGAUGUUUGGACUCUCAUUCUGACGGCACCCAUUCACUGCAGAGGAUCCAUUGAUGAGCAAGUGAUGUACUGCUACCAAAUAUGUUCUGAUGAAGAAACAAAGUAAUCUACAUCUUGGAUGACCUGAGUAAAUUUUCAGCAAAUUAAAAUUUUUGGGUGAGCAAUUCCUUUAAGACUAUAAUGUGUAUUCCUAAUUCCUUAUCUAUCAAAAUAUUACAAUUUGCUCCAGCUCUGGAGGUGAAAAAAAGAGUAAACCAUGCCAUAUUACUUCCAUAAUUUUUCCUAUUUACCAUAUUUUAAUCAAAAAUAGGACACAUUAUGGAAGUAAUAUGGCAUGCAAUUGUGGUUUCUUCUUAACUUCAGAUUUCAGGUUGAAUGAGCUUCUCACACAACCCUGAUACAAGCUGCUGCAUUACAGACCUUUAUAAAGCGGUGCAGAGUCAAAAAUCUAACAGUAAACGGAUCUUCCAAAAUGCUGUUAAAGGAACAUUCCUGGUUCAAUAAAAAAUAAAAUAAAAUCACAUACAGUAAAGAUAGAGUGAUGUUUGUAAACGGUUGAUUUCAUAUGUUUGGGGCCCAGCACAAAAUAUCAGACCAUGAGCAUAAAAGAGCUUGGUCUUAUAAAAUUAUACUAAUAAAAAAAUGAUAUAUAUAU
ensembl:lncRNA